rnacentral:rRNA from 1 species
AGUGGGGAAUAUUGCACAAUGGGCGAAAGCCUGAUGCAGCGACGCCGCGUGAGGGAUGACGGCCUUCGGGUUGUAAACCUCUUUCAGUAGGGAAGAAGCGAAAGUGACGGUACCUGCAGAAGAAGCGCCGGCUAACUACGUGCCAGCAGCCGCGGUAAUACGUAGGGCGCAAGCGUUAUCCGGAAUUAUUGGGCGUAAAGAGCUCGUAGGCGGUUUGUCGCGUCUAUCGUGAAAGUCCGAGGCUCAACCUCGGAUCUGCGGUGGGUACGGGCAGACUAGAGUGAUGUAGGGGAGACUGGAAUUCCUGGUGUAGCGGUGAAAUGCGCAGAUAUCAGGAGGAACACCGAUGGCGAAGGCAGGUCUCUGGGCAUUAACUGACGCUGAGGAGCGAAAGCAUGGGGAGCGAA